UCUCAGAUAGCUCAGUUGGUAAAGAAUCUGCCUGCGAUGCAGGAGACCCAAGUUCGAUUCCUGGGUAGGGAA
rnacentral:tRNA from 1 species